CAGGUGAAAAUGCUUGCUUUAGGGGUGUACCAAGCACCCUUGGGAAGGUCUGAGACUUAAGUCAUCAACCCUCUAGCAGGGGGUUCAUCUUAAUAGAUGAGUGGACCCACUAGAAACAGGCCGGACAAGGCACCCUGGCACGAGAUUCUGUACCACCCAGUUGUGGGCAGUUGAUGCCAUGUGCUUGUGUCCUGGUUGGAACGGUCCAUGACUGGCAUGAUAAGUGCAAUAUGCAAGGUGAUGCACUGCAUCAUAACCCAAUUCAGACUACUCUCUCUCCUG
rnacentral:RNase_P_RNA from 1 species